rnacentral:rRNA from 1 species
GAUGAACGCUGGCGGCGUGCCUAAUACAUGCAAGUCGAGCGAACAGAUGAGGAGCUUGCUCCUCUGACAUUAGCGGCGGACGGGUGAGUAACACGUGGAUAACCUACCUAUAAGACUGGGAUAACUUCGGGAAACCGGAGCUAAUACCGGAUAAUAUAUUGAACCGCAUGGUUCAAUAGUGAAAGACGGUUUUGCUGUCACUUAUAGAUGGAUCCGCGCCGCAUUAGCUAGUUGGUAUGGUAACGGCUUACCAAGGCAACGAUGCGUAGCCGACCUGAGAGGGUGAUCGGCCACACUGGAACUGAGACACGGUCCAGACUCCUACGGGAGGCAGCAGUAGGGAAUCUUCCGCAAUGGGCGAAAGCCUGACGGAGCAACGCCGCGUGAGUGAUGAAGGUCUUCGGAUCGUAAAACUCUGUUAUUAGGGAAGAACAAAUGUGUAAGUAACUAUGCACGUCUUGACGAUACCUAAUCAGAAAGCCACGGCUAACUACGUG